rnacentral:rRNA from 1 species
GGCCCAACCGUUAUUCGGAAUUACUGGGCUUAAAGAGUUCGUAGGCGGCAUUGCAAGUAGGGUGUGAAGGCCCUCGGCUCAACCGAGGAAUUGCGCUCUAAACUGCAGUGCUCGAGGAACCUAGAGGUGAGCAGAACAGAUGGUGGAGCGGUGAAAUGCGUUGAUAUCAUCUGGAAUACCGGAGGCGAAGGCGGCUCACUGGGGGUUUUCUGACGCUGAGGAACGAAAGCCAGGGUAGCGAACGGG